rnacentral:rRNA from 1 species
AGUGGGGAAUAUUGGACAAUGGGCGCAAGCCUGAUCCAGCCAUGCCGCGUGUGUGAAGAAGGCCUUAGGGUUGUAAAGCACUUUCAGUGGGGAGAAAGGUUAUUCACCUAAUACGUGAGUAAAUUGAUGUUACCCACAGAAGAAGCACCGGCUAACUCCGUGCCAGCAGCCGCGGUAAUACGGAGGGUGCAAGCGUUAAUCGGAAUUACUGGGCGUAAAGCGCACGUAGGUGGUUUGUUAAGCUAGCUGUGAAAUCCCCGGGCUCAACCUGGGCACUGCAGUUGGAACUGGCAAGCUAGAGUAGGGUAGAGGGGUGUGGAAUUCCAGGUGUAGCGGUGAAAUGCGUAGAUAUCUGGAGGAACAUCAGUGGCGAAGGCGACACCCUGGACUCAUACUGACACUGAGGUGCGAAAGCGUGGGGAGCAAA